GUAGGUGGCAAGCGUUGUCCGGAUUUAUUGGGUUUAAAGGGUGCGUAGGUGGCUAACUAAGUCAGUGGUGAAAUAUCUCAGCUUAACUGAGAGGGUGCCAUUGAUACUGGAUAGCUUGAGUACAGAUGAGGUAGGCGGAAUUGACGGUGUAGCGGUGAAAUGCAUAGAUAUCGUCAAGAACACCGAUAGCGAAGGCAGCUUACCAAGCUGUAACUGACACUGAGGCACGAAAGUGUGGGGAUCAAACAGGAUUAGAUACCCUGGUAGUCCACGCUGUAAACGAUGAGGACUAGAUGUUGGAAGGGGAACCUUUCAGUAUCGAAGCUAACGCGAUAAGUCUUCCGCCUGGGAAGUACGGCCGCAAGGUUG
rnacentral:rRNA from 1 species